GAUGAAGAACGUAGCGAAAUGCGAUAAGUAAUGUGAAUUGCAGAAUUCAGUGAAUCAUCGAAUCUUUGAACGCAUCUUGCGCUCCUUGGUAUUCCUUGGAGCAUGCCUGUUUGAGUAUCAUGAGCAAAUCUCAAAGUCAAUUCCUUUUGUUGAUUCAAUUGGUUUUGCUUUGGACUUGGAGGCCUUGCAGAUUUCACAGUCUGCUCCUCUUAAAUGCAUUAGCUGGAUCUCAGUAAUUAUGCUUGGUUCCACUCGGCGUGAUAAGUAUCACUCGCUGAGGACACUGUUAAAAAGGUGGCCAGGAAAAUACUGAUUGAACCGCUUCUAACGGUCUAUUAAGUUAGACAAUUACCCUUAAGUUUGAUCUCAAAUCAGGUAGGACUACCCGCUGAACUUAAGCAUAUCAAAAGCGGAGGA
rnacentral:misc_RNA from 1 species